UGUGCUUUGACUCUUCCAAGAAAGAUAUGCUUCCAUGAUGACAUUCCAGGAAAACAAGCAUGUCCCACAAGAGAAUCUUUGUUGUCAUCUUUCAAAGAUUAUUGACGGAACUGCUCACACGAUCACAUUUGCUAACAGGGUACUUUUUGUGAAACAUAUGAUUUCAGCUACUCAGCAAGCAGAGUGCACCAAAAAAUCAUAUGGAACAUAUGUAACCUGCAAUCACAAAUGGAAAGAGUUCUAUGGUCCCCAAUCAUAACUGGG
rnacentral:lncRNA from 1 species